CGAGUCCGAGUCUCCACGGAGACGAAGUGGCGGUCAUCCAGCUUCCUAGAAAAGCUCUAACCACGUUAAUCUUUAGUUGCCUGUACCCGAAACCGACACAGGUAGGGGGGUAGAGAAUACCAAGGGGCGCGAGAUAACUCUCUCUAAGGAACUCGGCAAAAUGACCCCGUAACUUCGGGAGAAGGGGUAUCACUGAGAAGUGGUCGCAGUGAAGAGGCCCAGGCGACUGUUUACCAAAAACACAGGUCUCCGCCAAGUCGCAAGACGAAGUAUGGGGGCUGACGCCUGCCCAGUGCCGGAAGGUUAAGGAAGUGGGUUAGGGAUUCGUCCCGAAGCUGACGACUGAAGCCCCGGUGAACGGCGGCCGUAACUAUAACGGUCCUAAGGUAGCGAAAUUCCUUGUCGGGUAAGUUCCGACCCGCACGAAAGGCGUAACGAUCUGGGCGCUGUCUCGGAGAGAGGCUCGGCGAAAUAGGAAUGUCUGUGAAGAUACGGACUACCUGCACCUGGACAGAAAGACCCUAUGAAGCUUUACUGUAGCUUGGAAUUGGGUUCGGGCUUGGUUUGCGCAGGAUAGGUGGGAGGCGAAGAAGAUUUGCUUGUGGGUGAAUCUGAGCCAACGGUGAGAUACCACUCUAACCAGGCUAGAAUUCUAACUUCAACCCGUCAACCGGGGGAAGGACAGUUUCAGGUGGGCAGUUUGACUGGGGCGGUCGCCUCCUAAAAGAUAACGGAGGCGCACAAAGGUUCCCUCAGGCUGGUUGGAAAUCAGCCAACGAGUGCAAAGGCAGAAGGGAGCUUGACUGCGAGACCUACAAGUCAAGCAGGGUGGAAACACGGUCUUAGUGAUCCGACGGCACCGAGUGGAAGGGCCGUCGCUCAACGGAUAAAAGUUACUCUAGGAUAACAGGCUGAUCUCCCCCAAGAGUUCACAUCGACGGGGAGGUUUGGCACCUCGAUGUCGGCUCAUCGCAACCUGGGGCGGAAGUACGUCCCAAGGGUUGGGCUGUUCGCCCAUUAAAGCGGUACGUGAGCUGGGUUCAGAACGUCGUGAGACAGUUCGGUCCAUAUCCGGUGUAGGCGCAAGAACAUUGAGAGGAGUCUUCCUUAGUACGAGAGGACCGGGAAGAACGCACCGCUGGUGUACCUGUUAUCGUGCCAACGGUAAACGCAGGGUAGCCAAGUGCGGAGUGGAUAACCGCUGAAAGCAUCUAAGUGGGAAGCCCACCUCAAGAUGAGUGUUCUCAUGGAGUAAUCCAGUAAGGUCACGGGAAGACGACCCGUUGAUAGGCGGUAGGUGGAAGUUCAGCAAUGGAUGAAGCCGAGCCGUACUAACAGACCGAGGGCUUGAC
rnacentral:rRNA from 1 species